GCCAGUUGACCAGGCCCAAGACCAGGGCCUGGAGCCUCCACCACAAAGGACAUCCCAGCUACUGGUUACCUUAUCACUCUGACACCCACUAUCCAAUGCCCUUGCUGCCAUGCCAGCCUGGAGUUCUUUGCUGCAGCCAACCAGACUCCCCACAUGGCCACUGGAUGCCACCUUCACUAUCCUGCAGCUGGACCCCACUUCUGCAGGAUGAAGAUGCUCACUGCUGGACACUGCCUGUUGUUGCUGCCCCUGCUUCUGAACUCUUAUGGUGCCACCACCAUUAUGCAGCACUGAAACUUCCAAACUCCAGAUGGACUCCAACACUGCCCACAAAGGCCCCAAUGUCAUUGUACUUUACCCCACACCUGUGCCUGACCCCUAUACUGAGGCUGGACCCCUGAUGCAGCUGUAUGUUGCUCCCGCCCCUGCCAGACUCUGGAGGUCCACCCUGCUGCCACUAGACUUUAACAUGGAUACUAGACAGUGACAGUCAGUACUGG
rnacentral:lncRNA from 1 species